rnacentral:rRNA from 1 species
UGGGGAAUUUUGGACAAUGGGCGAAAGCCUGAUCCAGCAAUGCCGCGUGUGUGAAGAAGGCCUUCGGGUUGUAAAGCACUUUUGUCCGGAAAGAAAUCCUUGGCUCUAAUACAGUCGGGGGAUGACGGUACCGGAAGAAUAAGCACCGGCUAACUACGUGCCAGCAGCCGCGGUAAUACGUAGGGUGCAAGCGUUAAUCGGAAUUACUGGGCGUAAAGCGUGCGCAGGCGGUUUGCUAAGACCGAUGUGAAAUCCCCGGGCUCAACCUGGGAACUGCAUUGGUGACUGGCAGGCUAGAGUAUGGCAGAAGGGGGUAGAAUUCCACGUGUAGCAGUGAAAAUGCGUAGAGAUGUGGAGGAAUACCGAUGGCGAAAGGCAGCCCCCUGGGCCAAUACUGACGCUCAUGCACGAAAAGCGUGGGGAGCAAAACAGGAUUAGAUACCCUGGUAGUCCACGCCCUAAAACGAUGUCAACUAGUUGUUGGGGAUUCAUUUCCUUAGUAACGUAGCUAACGCGUGAAGUUGACCGCCUGGGGAGUACGGUCGCAAGAUUAAAACUCAAAGGAAUUGACGGGGUCAUAGCUGUUUCCU